rnacentral:rRNA from 1 species
GACGAAGGGGGCUAGCGUUGUUCGGAAUUACUGGGCGUAAAGCGCGCGUAGGCGGUCUUUCAAGUCAGGAGUGAAAGCCCCGGGCUCAACCCGGGAAUAGCUCUUGAUACUGUUGGACUUGAGUCCGGGAGAGGAUAGUGGAAUUCCCAGUGUAGAGGUGAAAUUCGUAGAUAUUGGGAAGAACACCAGUGGCGAAGGCGGCUAUCUGGACCGGUACUGACGCUGAGGCGCGAAAGCCAGGGGAGCAAACGGG